AAUAGGUAAGAGGCAAAGAAAGGGUCUUGUUUUAUUUUUUGCUCCCUCGUUGACCCCAGUUUGGCAGAGGCUGGCCAGAAAAAGCAGCACACCCCUCCCUGGCAAACACAGGAGAGACUUGCGCGCCUCCAGCUCCAUCCUUGAUUCACAGCAACAAUACGCAUGGGCGAGACGUGGGAGAGAUGAUGGAGCUGUGAGCAGGGUCCGGUCCACGGACUGUCACCGUUCGCGCUUGAGACUGGACCCGAAACUGGUUCACUGCUUUUUCUCCAAGCUCAGCCAUGAAAUACAACCCCUGCUCCCGUAAGUUCUGUCCAAGCACACCGGUUUCCAUCAACGAUAUUGCCCAUGAUGUUCGAUUUUGACAUUACUUCCCUCGAUUGCCCGUUUACCCCCAAGUCAAGUCUGAGACAGGCAUGAAGUGUAAAAGAGGUGGGUCGUGUCAUAUCCGCUCAGUGUGCAUGGGAUUGUUGUUGCACGGCUGUGAUCAUUGUUCAGGAGAACAAUUCAACACAGAGAGCACGAGCAGUCAGGAAGGCUGCACAAAAUAAGAAAGAAAAAGUGGAAGAAAAGUUGCAGUUACAGAGGCUCGUUAUUCACUGCUCCAAUGGCAAAGCAGGUUUAUCAUACUGUAGUCAGAAGAUGUGUCUUAGAUGUAGAUUUGUUUUUGAUAUCAUCCAAACUGUCAUUGAAAUUGUUAAAUCAACUUUUAUAUCUACUUUUCUAGACUUGCUGAAGAGAUUUUGUCAAACUAAUCUCAGGGUAACUAACUCUUCCGCCUACACAUGGAGAUGAAUAUUUAUCCAGGCUUCAAAAACAUUGUUCUCUUGACAUUGCCAGUGUCAAAUCUUAUAAAAUAUAGCGAAGACAGUUAGAAUAUAUUAAAGUUCUAUCUUUAAUAUGUAUAUUUAUUAUCUACAUCCAAUUUUAGCAUUUUUAUACAUUUAAAAUAUUGCUUAUAAAUUCUGAUAUGUUCAUAAACAUAUAGACGUUUUUUUAGUUGUUUUUUUUACCAUUCACUAAAUUCUCCUUUACGUUUGAAAUUAUUGCGAUUUCUCCACUGAAGAAUGUGCAUUUGAUUCUUCAACCCCUCCAUGUCGUUGUUUUGCGGUAUAGCGCAGUAUGGUUAAUACAAAGCUCUGCGCUCCGUGGAUUAUUGCUUUCAACAUCUGGUAUACACAGUGGUUGCUUGGCAACAGAUUGAUGCCACUAGUGCAUGUAUAUUUAGAAAAUCUCAGGUGUGUCUUUAUGGAGCUCACCACAGUGGCUCCGACUCAGUAGCCAACCAGAGGUGAGGACCGGAACUAAUCGUCCAAUAACUGGAUAUUAGUUUACAGGAUAAUACCAGAGGGAUAUGGCGGCCGAGGAGCCGGUUACUCACGGGUGAGCAGUGCCCGUCCAAUCUGAUUUGUGUCACACAUCUGCGUUUAGCUUGCCAGAUCAAUAGCGGACGUCUGGGUGAGAGGGAGAAAGAGAAAGGGUGAGGGUGGAUUGCACUGCUGUUCAGGCUCAAGGGCACGAAAGGAAAAGGUGCAACAGGUCAACAGCAGUUUGAACCAUACAGCAGGUCCCCACAAAAUCAAGUGCUGUGAGGAAAUUAUGUCUACAGGCAGCAGUUUGUGAGCUGUCUGUGGUAUUGGACAUAGCUUUAAAAAUAGCAAUUAGCAGCAUGGAUAGGCCUAUAGGCCAUUCUUUUAGAGCCUAUUAGAUCCUAUAGAUUAUAGAUUUUGAGGCACAGUAUUAUUAUUAUAACACUUUAAGUCUGUUUCGUCCAUAACCAGUUUAUAAACAUAACAAAUAAUUAAUUUAAAUGUUAUAAGUAGAUUUAGUGAGGUAUUUAUUGAUGUGUCUAUCAACAACUUUACUAUCAUCUGGUGUAAAAAACAAAAUGAAUUACGAUCUAGUGCAACUAGAUAUCAUGUAUAUGUCAAAUUAUUAUAUAUACUGUAUAUUUUUUUAAUUUUGACAAAUACUGUAGCCUAUUAAUAAACACUAAAUAAACAGUUGUAUCAGUGUCCGACUACUUGCUUACAUUAUACUGCUUGAAAAUGUUGCAAUACGUUAUAAACAUAUUUUUAUAAUAAUAAUAAUAAUAAUAAUAAUUAUUAUUAUUAUUAUUAUUAUAGGGUGGUAUUUCAAAUCAUUUUGCCCUGAAUCCACAGAUACUGCAUCGUCCCUCAUUACGAUUUGUGUUUUGUUGCCUCUGAGAUUCCAACAGCUUUUUUUAUAAUCACUGCGGAUACUUGUAAAAUCACUAUGUGGAAAUAAUACAUUUUAAGUCUUAAAAAAUGUGUACACCAAAGGACCAAACGACAUAAAUGUGUCUGUUAUGUCUGUAAUAACUCACAACUUCACUCUCAUUCGUGAAAAUACCCAAAGAAAUAUUUUUAAUUUGAUCCACACCAUUGAGCCUAAAAAGAGUACAAAAGCCCGUCAGUGUUUUGUUUCUUAAAUUUCUCCUGACCUGUUUUUGCAAACCAGACCACUAAAUGAGUAUUUUGGGUUUAACAUAUCCUGCAGCCCAAAUCAUCGCGUCUUCUUGAUGUGUGGGGUAUUUUGCCUCAACACGCUGCUGAUUGGCUUAUACAGUAUCUGUAGUUUGUAUCAAGUUAGAUACGCUCACCACGUACACCCUCUGUCUGUUAUUGAAACCAUAAUGUUUUCAUACGCAUGGGGCUCAUACGCACUCUGCUGAAACCAUUGAAGCCAGCAUGUAUCCUGCCAUCCCUUCUGUGCAGCCUUCACACGCACACCACCGACACAGUUACCAUAACUAUUGUAAUAUUGUGAAGGUACUAAAACUACCCGAUCGAACUUGGCCUGUCCGUACUGCUAUAUAUGACACAUUGAGAUUUUCAGCUUUAUUUUUGAAAAUGCUCAUUCAUUAUUCAGGUUCAGCUCUAUUAGUUUCUGCAAGACAGAUGUCAGAGCGUGAUGGAGAUGUUUAUGUUUGACUGAUUUAAGAAGCCAUUAUCCUGCCCGCUUAUCAAACAUUCAUGUGCGGCAGCUGUAGCUGUGGAUCUGCCCUCCGUCGUGUCUCCUGUCGCACUUCAUCUCUCCUCUUAAACAACCACGACCUGUCCACUCAGUUAACCUGUUGUUUUAACAUCUAGGAGACAGCUUAAUCACUUCCGAGGGGGGGGAAGGGUAUUCAUUUAAAAUAUAUGUAUACAACCCGCCUGUAUGGAGAACCAAAAUAGUGACUUUAAUGUGCUAUAUUGUCACUGUACACAGAUUGUAGUGGCGGGGUUAAAGUUGAGCAAUGCAGGACCAAUGUAAGACCUUUCCCUGCCUAUAUUGAUUUACCCGACACAAUCAGUGAUAAAGACACGUUUUUUUAAGAUCAUAACAAGGUCCUGAAAUGUAUACAGUAAUCAAGUCUAUUGUAAGCCAUUAAAAGCAGCACAGCCCUCAGCUAAUGUGUUGUAAUGGCCACAGAGGCUACUCCUGAGGGAGUUUUUAACAGUUGAGAAAUACUGAGUACACGCGAGUCUUUUUAUAAUACCACAGUAACAGCCUACCCAAUAACAGGUAAUGUUCUGCGGUGUGGUUGGUUGCUGUUGUGUUAUCCCAAAAUAUAGAAUUAUUAAAGAAUUAUUAAUUGUUAAAGCUCAGUACUUUUCCAGAUUAUUUCUCAUUUGUGAAUUGUAUCUAUUUUGUUCUGAUUUCUCAUCGGCUGCGAACCCUUUUAAUCUUUAGUCUGGAGAUGGGGGAGAGCAAAUGUAACUUUUCCGGUUUAAUGUUGAACAACUCGGAAGAAUUUGUUUUUACAGACUAAAAAAAUCCGUUUGCUGCAAAAUACUAAUGUCUCUACCAUUUGACUGCACAAAGCAUCCAGCGUCCAUGCCUUUUCGUAAAUGCCCUGUGAACGUGGUGGUUUUCAUCCUUUUGACCCCUCCAUGAACAGCGCACCGCCUCCCUCGCUGCGCCCCUCCACCCCUUCCAAGCAGCCAUACAAUGCGGCGUGUGCGUGUGCGCGCUGCGGUAUGUGGGCUACGAUGUCGUGCAGAGGUAAUGGGAAGUAGUCGGAAGGUAAGGUCGCGGGUUCACGGCGGGGUUACAGAGACCCAACUAUGGCCCAUGUUUGUGUAUUUUUUUGGGUGUGCUUUUUUUUCUUCACAACUCCGCUUCCUUCCUAGAGGAGGAUGUGUCCAGUGUGUGCCACCGUGCUCAACCCAAACCAACCGUGUCACCGCACAGCCCGUGUUUGUUUUUCUGAGUUUAUUAAAUCUUCCCCCGACAGGAAAACGACCAAUAUCAUCACGUCACAUGGGUGUUGGUGAGUUUAGCACUUUGCAUCCCCCCUGGCUCCCUGUGAAAUCGUUUGUGUUUGUACAUGUGAAGUCUGGCGUCUAUUUAUAUCCUCACACAGGCUCACUGUCCAACGAGCCUGCAGUUUGUUUCGGACUAUUCCAAGCCGUUUUAUCUUCAAACAACAUCGUGUCAUUAUUUCCAAUUCAAAGCAAUUCAUACAUUUUUGGCAUUUUUCAAUCUAAAACAAAAUCAUCUAAAAUCAGGCAACUGAUUUAAUAUUCAUAAACCCUAUAGAGCAACUUUUUUGGCACCUUUAAGCCCUUGAUCUAAUUAACGGGUUUUUUUUCUCCUUUGUUUAAUCGCUUGAUUGUAAAUGUGUUUUUUCUAUCAGAGAAUAGAGAGAAGUCAAUGAACAUCCCCAUGAUUAACAGCAUUCCAAUUCUUCCCCUUUUCAUCAAGUCUUUGAUGAAUCCACAAUAUUCAACCAUUUAUGAGCAGCAUUAGAGUGAUGCAAGUUGGGAAAUAGAUACUACUGGGGGGUUUUAAGUAGAGAUUAAAAUUAUCUCAUUAUGAUAACUACAGGUCAGGUGGGUCAUCCACCAUUUGAAUUGUCGCUGCAUUAUUGUUCAGGCGUUUAACCAUUUCUGGGCUUCUCUCUUUUCUCUAAUGGAAUAAGAAUGACUGCUUUUUGAAGUUAUUUCUCUAUCAUGUAACGUAGAUUAUUCCUUUGAGAUUAAGCCAAGUGAAAUACAAAUAAUUACAGGAUUGUUAUAUAAUUUGAAAAGAAUCUAUUUUAGGCAUAUAACAUUAGUCAUAUUACACCUUUUUACAGCUUGAAUGAGCUUUGCAUAUUAUGUCUUAAAAUAGAAACACUAUUGUUCUAUAGAUGAGAUGAAUAUGUACAAUUCCACAAAGUAUUUGAUUUAACUGCAAUAAUAUUUUCUAUUACAGAAUUGUUAAACAUGAAAUAAAUGUAUAGUAAAACUUAUUUUAAAAUCAAUUUGGUGUCUCUUUUACUUUUAAACACAUUAAAUGAUACAUGGUUCGAUUCAAUUCAGAUUGUGUGA